rnacentral:rRNA from 1 species
GGACUACCGGGGUAUCUAAUCCUGUUUGCUCCCCAUGCUUUCGUGCCUGAGUGUCAGGAACGAGCCAGUAGACUGCUUACGCCAUCGGUGUUCCUCCUAAUAUCUACGGAUAUUACCCCUACAUUAGGAAUUCCAUCUACCUCUCUCGUCCUCUAGCCUAGGAGUUCAGAUAAUGUAUACAUAGUUGAGCUAUGCGCUUUCACUGUCUGCUUUCUAAGCCACCUACGCAACUCUUUACGCCCAGUAAUUCCGGAUAACGCUUGGAUCCUCCGUAUUACCGCGGCUGCUGGCAC